AGCGAACGCUGGCGGCAGGCCUAACACAUGCAAGUCGAACGAACCCUUCGGGGUUAGUGGCGGACGGGUGAGUAACACGUGGGAACGUGCCUUUAGGUUCGGAAUAACUCAGGGAAACUUGUGCUAAUACCGAAUGUGCCCUUCGGGGGAAAGAUUUAUCGCCUCUAGAGCGGCCCGCGUCUGAUUAGCUAGUUGGUGAGGUAAUGGCUCACCAAGGCUACGAUCAGUAGCUGGUCUGAGAGGAUGACCAGCCACAUUGGGACUGAGACACGGCCCAAACUCCUACGGGAGGCAGCAGUGGGGAAUCUUGCGCAAUGGGCGAAAGCCUGACGCAGCCAUGCCGUGUGGAUGAUGAAGGUCUUAGGAUUGUAAAAUCCUUUCACCGGUGAAGAUAAUGACUGUAGCCGGAGAAGAAGCCCCGGCUAACUUCGUGCCAGCCGCCGCCGUAAAAC
rnacentral:rRNA from 1 species